rnacentral:rRNA from 1 species
UGGGGAAUAUUGGACAAUGGGCGAAAGCCUGAUCCAGCCAUGCCGCGUGUGUGAAGAAGGUCUUCGGAUUGUAAAGCACUUUAAGUUGGGAGGAAGGGCAGUAAGCGAAUACCUUGCUGUUUUGACGUUACCGACAGAAUAAGCACCGGCUAACUCUGUGCCAGCAGCCGCGGUAAUACAGAGGGUGCGAGCGUUAAUCGGAUUUACUGGGCGUAAAGCGUGCGUAGGCGGCUAAUUGAGUCGGAUGUGAAAUCCCCGAGCUUAACUUGGGAAUUGCAUUCGAUACUGGUUAGCUAGAGUGUGGGAGAGGAUGGUAGAAUUCCAGGUGUAGCGGUGAAAUGCGUAGAGAUCUGGAGGAAUACCGAUGGCGAAGGCAGCCAUCUGGCCUAACACUGACGCUGAGGUACGAAAGCAUGGGGAGCGAACAGG